rnacentral:misc_RNA from 1 species
GAUGAAGAACGCAGCGAAAUGCGAUAAGUAAUGUGAAUUGCAGAAUUCAGUGAAUCAUCGAAUCUUUGAACUCACAUUGCGCCCCCUGGUAUUCCGGGGGGCAUGCCUGUUCGAGCGUCAUUUCACCACUCAAGCCUCGCUUGGUAUUGGGCAACGCGGUCCGCCGCGUGCCUCAAAUCGACCGGCUGGGUCUUCUGUCCCCUAAGCGUUGUGGAAACUAUUCGCUAAAGGGUGUUCGGGAGGCUACGCCGUAAAACAACCCCAUUUCUAAGGUUGACCUCGGAUCAGGUAGGGAUACCCGCUGAACUUAAGCAUAUCAAUAAGCGGAGGA